AGGCAGCGUCUCCGACUAUGGCCGCACCAGACGGGGAGAAACCUGUGUGGAGCUGGGGUACCGGGGAACCGCGGCCUACGCUGCCGUCCCUGGGACUGGGUUCAUCACCACGUGCAACAACCAGAUAUCAAGCACGUUUUCAAACCUUUUUCUGUGGGCCACGAUGGCAUCUACCGAUCCAAGAGGGACUUUUUAGCCACUGUCCAGGGUCUCUUCUCACUCCGCGACCAUCCCAAGAAUGAACUUCGAGAACAGCCUUGAUACGGAAAAGCCGGUGGAGACAGAGAAUGGCAAUUCCACCCUUUUGACUUUGACAGCGUCAGGAAUAGCAUGGACUGGUGGUUGAAUACGAGGCUCGGCCCCUUAGGGCACCGCUGGGCAGCACUGUCUCCAUCCUUCAUAAUCGUCAGCUGCUUGGCUUCUGGUGGGCCAGCCUCAUGCUGCUCCUCAAUACUGGAGGUUGUGGAGGUCAGAGAGAGAGAGAGAGAGAGAGCCCUGCACUGAAAUCAGGAAGCCCGAUUCCAAUCACUAGUGACUGAAUCACCAACUAGUGCUGAGACUUUGGAAGUCAUGGCUGCUCUCUGAGUGUCCGUUUCCUCGUCUAUAAAAUGGGGUAAAUACCCUGUCCUUCCUACUCACCUAACACAACAUGGAUGUGAAAGCCCUCCAAACCCCUAGCAUUUGUAAGGGGACAGCUUUGUAUGAAUCUGAUUAGGAUGAAACAGGUGAUGCCUGCCUGGAGCCAAUUGCUGACCAGUUUCAUUAACCCGAUCUGUCCCCACCCUGGGACAAUGAGAAGGUCUGAGGCAUCCAAAAAAGCAGGAGGCAAAAUUCCCUCAGUGGGCCUGACACCAAGAUGGUAGAGUCACUAUUUAACACCUGGUUUAUGUGACCCAAACUCUUCAAUCACCUACCUGGACCUCCAUUGCCUGUUCUACAAUGGGAUAGCAUUGCUGUUUUGGUGAGAGCAACAUGAGAAAACGAUACAAAGUGCUGUCACUGUAAAGCUACAAGAAAACCAGGGUAUUCUUGCCAUCUGCACGACCCAGGAGAAAUACAACUCCUAAAGCAUGGCUUCCAGCUUAGGGGUCCCAUCCCCUCUCACAGAGAUGUGCAUUUUAACAGAGGUUUGGGAUCCCCAGGAACCACCAGGGAAACAGAUUCCUCUUGUGUCCUUGUCAGCCUGGUCUUGCCUUGGUCCAAUUCUGGUUUGGACAAUUAACUGGAGAAGGUGAGGUUGAGACUGAUUACCGCCACCCCUGGGAGGAGGAAAGGGACACGAGAAUAUGAAAUGAGGAACUAUGAAAGAGGACCUUCCAAGCACUGAUGGCAGCAUGAGGUUGAGUGGCCCCCACCACCAAAGAAGGAGCAAAAACCCUCAAUAAAUAGCAUUUGUCCUGGG